UGGAGAUUGAACCAGGUGUAGGAGAACGCACGGACGUGUGGCAGCAAAGCCUCGAUGAAGGGAUGGAAUUCAUCCUGUUGGAUAAAAAAAAAGCACAUUUCAGAGACUUUCGUGGAAUUUAAGAAAAUAAUAUAGUUUAAAGAUCUCAGCGGCUGUGCAGGAAUUCCGGGAUUCUGCAAUUCACAGAAAGCAGCUUCUUUAGCUCAAGUCAGGCCAAGAAAAGCUUGGCGAUCCCCACGGCAACGGAAGACUCAUUCAGCUCUCCAAUAAUACCUUCACCACACAACGCUCAGUGACAAAGCCUAAACCGCGCCACGGUGCCCCAGUGCCAGGGCCGCCGUGCCCCAGACCCUCUCCGCCAACUCUCGCCACAACAAGACCGCGGUUAAACUGCGUCCCUUCAAGACCUGCCAUCAAAUCCUGUCUGCGGGCUGCUGUCGUGCAGAAAUCCAGGCAUGUUCACAUUUCGACAAUCGAGAAAGCAGAUAGCACCGCGUAAAGCACACACUGAAGACAGGAGCAGAAAGAGAGAGAAAGGCUGCUAGUUACCAUUUUGCACUCUCAUCAUAAAUUUGGCACGCCGUUCAGGACGGGGGGGAAAAUCCACCCGCACCAGUUCUUUGCCACUCACGCCGAAACAACAACUGCUGGCUUGGCAAAGACGAAGAAUUGGCGACCAAAAAAAUAUACUUGGGUAAAAAGGAAAGAAGACUGGAGAUGCUCCAAUUGCCGGCGGAAAGAAGUUAAUUUCAAGAUCAGGAAUUUUCUUUUGCUUUGCGGUUCCAGUGCGCUGACCAUUGGGGAAAGCAGAAAAGCAAGCAGGUUUAAUGAGAGAGAUGUGGGGUUUGGGGGUUUGUUGGUCGCCCGCUGUGCGCCCGUGACCCUCCCUGCGCAUGUGACCCACCGUGACCCUGAAACACCAUAAUGAAGACAGACGUGAUGGCUGAUUCUGCCCUCUUACAGGAGAAAGACACUCUGACAACACAAGAAUAUAAGAGACAAAGAGCCUGUUAAAAUGAUUUUUCAUAAGGGGAAGGAGGCAGACAGUGAGAGACAGAGUAAAAAUGUGAUAAAUACCAACAUGACAGACGUUGAGGGAGGUGCAUGGAGGCUGUGGAGAAUCAUGUGCUAACACACGCUAUCGUGAAGACGCCAGUCCAGACAUGCCGGCAUGCCAGUGUGGACAAAACCAUAGCGGUAAAGAGACAUCUGACCCACACACACACACACGGCCAUCUAUUGUGUCUGACACUGGACACACUCUCACACAUGCACUCGUGUAUAACCUCACACCUCAGAGACGUGGACCGCGUGUGAAGGUGUGUGAGCGUGAGGUUCGAGCAGGUGUGUGUGUGUGUGUGUGUUGGCACAGGUGAGGGCCGCCCCUCCUCCCGCUGCUGAUAUGCUGCAGGUCUGUUUGGAUUUCUGAAAGAGAGUCUGAGAUGAGUAGAAACUCAGCUCUCGCAGCGACGAGUGACAUCAGCUGCUGUCAGUGCAAUCAGAGACACACACCUGCAGAUUUAUAUCGUGUCAAAUCACACACAAGCUGUUUUAUGGCAGUGGCUGUGAAAUAUGGGAGGCUGGGGCAAGUUGUCACAGUGCAUGUGGGUUACAAACACCUAGAUCAAAAAUGUUUUUUUUUCAUCCUUUAAAUUAUUUUUUCAUAUUUAUAUUUUGGGAUCCCACUUUAUAUUGGCCUUAACUACUAUGUAGCCCACUUACAUCAAACUAAGUACAAUGUAUCCUACUUACUGUGUUCAUAGUGGGAUGGGGUAAGGCAAGG